rnacentral:tRNA from 1 species
UCUCUGAUGGUCCAGUGGUUAAGACUCUGCACUCCCAAGGCAGGGGGCCUGGAUUCAAUCCCUGGUCAGGGAA